UUGGACUCGUUAGUGAUCUGACUUCAGCUGGUGUUAGCAUUUGCCUAGAAGGCUGACUAACUCUCCUCUGGUUAGCUCUUAAAUAUAUCAACGAUCAUAAUCUAAAAGUAUUCAGUUAACAUCGAAGUCAAGUGAACUACGAUAUACCAACACUUGGAAACAAAACUAUUACGAUAUUUAAAGCUCAAACAACUUAGUUAUCUUUACUCAGGAAAGAAAAGGCAAGCCUGAAAAACCGUUGAAUCAGACGCCAAGUCUUUAAGGUACGCGUUGAAGCAGUAGCUAAGCAACCGAAAAGGAAAAUGGCGUGGAAGUGUAAACGCGGUCGAAAUAUGUACCAAAGAUUAUCAGUCGAAGAUGAUGAAGAUACUGAGAGUUUUAAAGAAUUGAAAAGCAGCGCUCUCGCWAAUGAAGCACACGAUGAGAAGAGCCAAGAAGUAGAAAAUACAAGCAUAAUAGACGAURGAGAAACUAGAACACAGUUUUUACAAAAGUGUCAUCGUCGACAAGCUGUGUGUGAAAACAUUGAAAGAGAAAUUGUUGACGAAAGAGGAGUCAGUCUCAGAAAAUUAAGGAAGUACAUGAUUCUGGAGUUAAUUCUACGCGAAGUUAAUUUACUUUAAAGAGAGGAUAUCUUGCUCUGAUUUGCCGAGAAGAGUAGCAUGCUUGUUAWAAUUUUCAAAUGAAGAUUUCCCAGUGUCAAUAAGAAUUCGACACGCGAACCGUUAACAAGAAUCCUAAGUGGAGGGGACAAUARCAAAAUUGAAUAAAAGUCUGCUUGUUUAUGAAUGAAGUGCCUUAAURCCAAAAAAGAAGGAAUUUUGAUGGAAAACUGUCAAGUAGAUUGACACAGAAGAGAACACUCAAGAAUUUUCAAGUUMAAAAUGAUGACAACAUCACGUCUCCGCUAUUUCCAUUCGAUUUUACUUUCUUAGAUCACUAAAAAUUAUUCAAACCGACGUGAUAUCUUAAGCGUGAUAUUGACUUCUUAUUUGUAAAGUACACUAGCGUUAUUUUCAAUAAUGCUCAGAUGUUAUUGAAAAUAUUUCUGCAGCGACGGAAACGGGGUUUUGGGGUAAGAAAAGCCGCAGUACCGMGGCUAAACAAGCUAUUCACAUUAACAAGCUAGAACUUAAAACACUUUCUUAGCUGCAUGGCGUCGAGUUAAGUGUAGGUUUACGGAUUUCAGUAAAUGAAUUUUAUUACUGAAUUAGAUUGCGGAAACAGUUCUGAAUAGUGCUUUAUUAGGAAAAUGCUUUAUUGGAGGGCCUCAUUGUCACGUGUGUUGUGCUUKAGUCAGAUUGCGUGCAGUACGUACCACGCGCCAAGAUGAGUUAUCACUGCUGCAGUAAACGUAAGGUUUGGUGGACAUUUAUACACGAUCAAACAUACAAGACGAUGUUGGCAUUUCAAGUUCGGUUUUCAUGUUUUUCGUUCAAUAAAAAAACUUGAUUUGAG